ACACGGAGGAGUCGCUUCUGCCAGUGGCCGGAGUGAUUAGAUUACUUGAGCCCGCCCUGUGUGGACAGUGGGAACAAGGGGAGCGGAGGACACUUUUUGGCACGAGACUACAAUCAAACAGAGCACAAAUUACACUUGAAACCUGUCAAAGGAAAAAAGGUGAGAGGGGGCACGAUAGAGGACUCGCUUCUGGAGGAGAAAUCCCUUUUAUGAAACCGCUCAGAACGCUGCCCAGUGCCAGCCGGCCGCUCGUCAGCUCUAUCUGCUCGAGACCGACUGCCAGCCCGUGUCUAUUUCAGUCCACGCUCGAUGGUAUUUAUUGAGCGUCUACUGUAUGCAGUGUAUUCUCGAAAAUUAGACCUCCCACCCCUUCUGUUGGAGGCACAGGGCACUGCCCUCGAGAUCCACUCCUUACCUUGGUGGUUUGAGGAUAAAGCUCUGGUUCUUUGCUAAUUACGACAACUUCUUCAGCCGUUUUCUUUGCUGCAUAAAAUGUUUGAAUGGAAAAAUACAUACUGGAGAAAAUGUAAAGAAAAGGUUCCCACGGGACCGUCAGUUGUGUUGGUUAUUAUUCACUCAACAUUCCCCCUUCCGGGGACAGGUUCUAUGGGGAGGGGCUAUACUCGAAGAGCUAAAGAACCCAAAUUCAAUUGUUUCCAGAACGGCGCCCCGUUUAAUGGAGCAGGAGCAAAUCCACAAGCCGGUUAAGAAGGUCUGCUUUCCCGGCCGCGGCAAACCCAGCCGGGCACUGCUAGGGAUGUCAAGGACUACCGACCUUUGACGGGUUUCAAGGGCGUCUGAAUCUCUGUGAGCUUGUUUAUUUCAGAAAGGUCCAGCUCAGCCUGAAACCAAGCAGUCAGGAUAAUCACCUCAUGCAUCAGUGAAGAGAAUCAAUGAAGUACAAACUUCCACAGGGAAAACACUUAAAAUUCUAGAACAACAAAAUUCCACCACCUGGCACCUUGUACGGUUCCUUGAAGCCAUCGCUCUAGCAGACCACGGGCUGAGGGAUACUUAUCCGACAGCCAGUAUUGGAGUUGAGGCCAGUUUCCAGGGUCUAUCACCCUGGGCUGGGCACGGACACCUCGUGGCUAGAAGGUUUGACCCCCUGUUGAGACCCAAAGCCCCCUCCCCAUUUCGUAUCGCCUAUCCCGACUGAGCCCUGCCAAUCUUUCCGAUAGAGGGAAGAGGCGGCCCUGUGCUGAACGGAGUUUGGCCGCCGGCGAGAGUUUAAAAAUCCAUGGAUUAUCCGUGUCGAAACGGAUAGUCUCAGGGGGAGCUGCGAGUGGAUUAGCUUUCGCUAGCUCUGAUUGCAUAAUGUGAAUGCCGACUGUUUUUUAUUUUCUGCCGAGUUGCUUUUCCCUUUCAGAAAGUUCUACGCGAAAGUCUCCUACCGUUGCUGCGUCUUCCAGAGCCCGCUUGCUUCCUCCCAGAGCUUUAAAGAGAAUGUUUCCGGUUACCAUAUAUUCACUAACAGAGAAGUACUAUCAGGGAAAUUUGGGAGGCUCUUGAGUUUUUCAUUUUAGUCACAAGAAAAUUGAAAUCGGUCACUGCUAUUUACUACGUGAGAAGCGCUAUAUUAAGUGCUUGGGAGGGUACUAUAGAACAGAGUUGGUAGGCCCUUCCCUGUCCACAGUGAGCUUGCAGUCUAGAGGGGAAGUGUCUAAAGCCCGCAAGGAGGCUUUCUCCUGACUUGCAAAUAGAAAGAGCUGUAGGUUGGAGGUGAAGCAUUAAAAAAAAAAAAA